UACGUAGGGUGCGAGCGUUAAUCGGAAUUACUGGGCGUAAAGCGUGCGCAGGCGGUUCGUUAAGUCAGAUGUGAAAGCCCCGGGCUCAACCUGGGAACUGCAUUUGAAAUUGGCGGGCUUGAGUGUGGCAGAGGGGGGUGGAAUUCCGCGUGUAGCAGUGAAAUGCGUAGAUAUGCGGAGGAACACCGAUGGCGAAGGCAAUCCCCUGGGCCUGCACUGACGCUCAUGCACGAAAGCGUGGGGAGCAAACAGG
rnacentral:rRNA from 1 species